CAAGUCGAGCGGCAGCGCGAGUAGUUUACUACUUGGCGGCGAGCGGCGAACGGCUGAGUAACGCGUGGGAAUUUGCCCCAAAGUGAGGAAUAACUGCCCGAAAGGGUGGCUAAUGCCGCAUAUGAUCUUCGGAUUAAAGGAUUUAUCCGCUUUGGGAGAAGCCCGCGUCGGAUUAGGUAGUUGGUGAGGUAAUGGCUCACCAAGCCGACGAUCCGUAGCUGGUCUGAGAGGAUGACCAGCCAGACUGGAACUGAGACACGGUCCAGACUCC
rnacentral:rRNA from 1 species